rnacentral:lncRNA from 1 species
UGACGCUGCCCGAUAGCUUCGGAAGUCCCGUAGACCAUCACAGAUGCCGAGCUUUAGGUAACUCUCACAGUGGAGGAAGACAGGAAUGUCAGGCCUCUGAGCCCAAGCUAAGCCAUCAUAUCCCCGUGACCUGCACGUACACAUCCAGAUGGCCAGUUCCUGCCUUAACUGAUGACAUUCCACCACAAAAGACGUGAAAAUGGCCUGUUCCUGCCUUAACUGAUGACAUUGUCUUGUGAAAUUCCUUCUCCUGGCUCAUCCUGGCUCAAAAGCUCCCCCACUGAGUACCUUGUGACCCCCACUCGUGCCCGCCAGAGAACAACCCCCCUUCUUCCUUUACCUACCCAAAUCCUGUAAAACCCCAUCUCCCUUCGCUGACUCUCUUUUCAGACUCAGCCCGCCUGCACCCAGGUGAAAUAAACACCCAUGUUGCUCACACAAAGCCUGUUUAGUAGUCUCUUCACAUGGACAUGCAUGAAACUGACCUCAAGUAAUCCACCUGCCUCAGCCUCCCAAAGUGCUGGGAUUACAGGCAUGAGCCACCACGUGUGGCCUGUUUGUUUUUUGAGACAGUUCUGUCACCCAGGCUGGAGUG